GGCAGCAUUUACUUGUUCUUGCACAAAUUUAGAAAAUUGAGCUGCCGAAGGGCAUUCAUGAAUAGGGUGAGAUGGGCUAGAACAAAGAGCACAAACUUGUGCUUGGGGAAGGUUUGGAAGCUAUUCUCUAGACAUUAGCUGGUCCAACUUGCGGGAUAGUGCAUCUACUUUGUUAGAUAGACCUAUGGACUGGCUAACUUUAUAUAUGGUUCCUUUUCUU
rnacentral:lncRNA from 1 species